rnacentral:lncRNA from 12 species
CUGGCUCCGUGGAAAUUUCUGCUGGCUUGAGUAAAUAAGAAACACAGGAUGGGAACUUAGUGACUUCAAGAAAGUCAAAUAACUGCGAGAAGAGGGCUUUAGAAGAUUUUCAGUGAACAGGUGGUGUUUACUGUGCAAGUGACUA